GACAACGUGCCAGAGUGGUUAAUGGGUAUGACUCGAACGACCUUGAUAUCAUAUGUCUUCGGACGCGCAGGUUCGAAUCCUGCCGUUGUCG